ACCGAGAUUCCCCCAGUAGCGGCGAGCGAACGGGGAGCAGCCCAGAGUCUGAAUCAGCUUGUGUGUUAGUGGAACGGUCUGGAAAGUCCGACGGUACAGGGUGAUAGUCCCGUACACCAAAAUGCACAGGCUGUGAACUCGAAGAGUAGGGCGGGACACGUGGUAUCCUGUCUGAAUAUGGGGGGACCAUCCUCCAAGGCUAAAUACUCCUGACUGACCGAUAGUGAACCAGUACCGUGAGGGAAAGGCGAAAAGAACCCCGGCGAGGGGAGUGAAAAAGAACCUGAAACCGUGUACGUACAAGCAGUGGGAGCACCUUCGGGUGUGACUGCGUACCUUUUGUAUAAUGGGUCAGCGACUUAUAUUCUGUAGCAAGGUUAACCGUAUAGGGGAGCCGCAGGGAAACCGAGUCUUAACUGGGCGUUAAGUUGCAGGGUAUAGACCCGAAACCCGGUGAUCUAGCCAUGGGCAGGUUGAAGGUUGGGUAACACUAACUGGAGGACCGAACCGACUAAUGUUGAAAAAUUAGCGGAUGACUUGUGGCUGGGGGUGAAAGGCCAAUCAAACCGGGAGAUAGCUGGUUCUCCCCGAAAGCUAUUUAGGUAGCGCCUCGUGAAUUCAUCUUCGGGGGUAGAGCACUGUUUCGGCUAGGGGGUCAUCCCGACUUACCAACCCGAUGCAAACUACGAAUACCGAAGAAUGUUAUCACGGGAGACACACGGCGGGUGCUAACGUCCGUCGUGAAGAGGGAAACAACCCAGACCGCCAGCUAAGGUCCCAAAGUCAUGGUUAAGUGGGAAACGAUGUGGGAAGGCACAGACAGCCAGGAUGUUGGCUUAGAAGCAGCCAUCAUUUAAAGAAAGCGUAAUAGCUCACUGGUCGAGUCGGCCUGCGCGGAAGAUGUAACGGGGCUAAACCAUGCACCGAAGCUGCGGCAGCGACACUAUGUGUUGUUGGGUAGGGGAGCGUUCUGUAAGCCUGCGAAGGUGUGCUGUGAGGCAUGCUGGAGGUAUCAGAAGUGCGAAUGCUGACAUAAGUAACGAUAAAGCGGGUGAAAAGCCCGCUCGCCGGAAGACCAAGGGUUCCUGUCCAACGUUAAUCGGGGCAGGGUGAGUCGACCCCUAAGGCGAGGCCGAAAGGCGUAGUCGAUGGGAAACAGGUUAAUAUUCCUGUACUUGGUGUUACUGCGAAGGGGGGACGGAGAAGGCUAUGUUAGCCGGGCGACGGUUGUCCCGGUUUAAGCAUGUAGGCUGAUUGUCCAGGCAAAUCCGGAUAAUCAAGGCUGAGGUGUGAUGACGAGGCACUACGGUGCUGAAGUAACAAAUGCCCUGCUUCCAGGAAAAGCCUCUAAGCAUCAGGUAACAUUAAAUCGUACCCCAAACCGACACAGGUGGUCAGGUAGAGAAUACCAAGGCGCUUGAGAGAACUCGGGUGAAGGAACUAGGCAAAAUGGUGCCGUAACUUCGGGAGAAGGCACGCUGGUGUGUAGGUGAAGCCCCUGCGGGUGGAGCUGAGACCAGUCGAAGAUACCAGCUGGCUGCAACUGUUUAUUAAAAACACAGCACUGUGCAAACACGAAAGUGGACGUAUACGGUGUGACGCCUGCCCGGUGCCGGAAGGUUAAUUGAUGGGGUUAUCCGUAAGGAGAAGCUCUUGAUCGAAGCCCCGGUAAACGGCGGCCGUAACUAUAACGGUCCUAAGGUAGCGAAAUUCCUUGUCGGGUAAGUUCCGACCUGCACGAAUGGCGUAAUGAUGGCCAGGCUGUCUCCACCCGAGACUCAGUGAAAUUGAACUCGCUGUGAAGAUGCAGUGUACCCGCGGCAAGACGGAAAGACCCCGUGAACCUUUACUAUAGCUUGACACUGAACAUUGAGCCUUGAUGUGUAGGAUAGGUGGGAGGCUUUGAAGCGUGGACGCCAGUCUGCGUGGAGCCAACCUUGAAAUACCACCCUUUAAUGUUUGAUGUUCUAACGUUGGCCCCUUACCGGGGUUGCGGACAGUGUCUGGUGGGUAGUUUGACUGGGGCGGUCUCCUCCCAAAGCGUAACGGAGGAGCACGAAGGUUAGCUAAUCCUGGUCGGACAUCAGGAGGUUAGUGCAAUGGCAUAAGCUAGCUUGACUGCGAGCGUGACGGCGCGAGCAGGUGCGAAAGCAGGUCAUAGUGAUCCGGUGGUUCUGAAUGGAAGGGCCAUCGCUCAACGGAUAAAAGGUACUCCGGGGAUAACAGGCUGAUACCGCCCAAGAGUUCAUAUCGACGGCGGUGUUUGGCACCUCGAUGUCGGCUCAUCACAUCCUGGGGCUGAAGUAGGUCCCAAGGGUAUGGCUGUUCGCCAUUUAAAGUGGUACGCGAGCUGGGUUUAGAACGUCGUGAGACAGUUCGGUCCCUAUCUGCCGUGGGCGCUGGAGAAUUGAGGGGGGCUGCUCCUAGUACGAGAGGACCGGAGUGGACGCAUCACUGGUGUUCGGGUUGUCAUGCCAAUGGCACUGCCCGGUAGCUAAAUGCGGAAGAGAUAAGUGCUGAAAGCAUCUAAGCACGAAACUUGCCCCGAGAUGAGUUCUCCCUGAGACUUUAAGUCUCCUGAAGGAACGUUAAAGACGAUGACGUUGAUAGGCCGGGUGUGUAAGCGCAGCGAUGCGUUGAGCUAACCGGUACUAAUGAACCGUGAGGCUUAACCUU
rnacentral:rRNA from 1 species